UACGUAGGGUGCAAGCGUUGUCCGGAAUUAUUGGGCGUAAAGAGCUCGUAGGUGGCCUGUCGCGUCGGCUGUGAAAACUCGGGGCUCAACUCCGAGCUUGCAGUCGAUACGGGCAGGCUAGAGUUCGGCAGGGGAGAAUGGAAUUCCUGGUGUAGCGGUGAAAUGCGCAGAUAUCAGGAGGAACACCGGUGGCGAAGGCGGCCUGCUGGGCAGUUUUGCUGACACUGAGGCGCGACAGCGUGGGGAGCAAACAGG
rnacentral:rRNA from 1 species